rnacentral:misc_RNA from 1 species
UUUUUUACUCUUUUAAAUUAUUUUCUUCAAGAGACAUGUUGUACAUGUGAUUAUCUAUUUUUAAUGCCUCUAAAUAUAUUUCACAGUCAUACAAUUUUUCCAUCAUCGAGUUCCUCACGGCCUUAAUGCACAUGCUUAUAAGGUCACACAAAUAGAAGUCUACAAGAAUAUUUUAAUGUUCUUGGAGAAUCAACUCCCCCUUGGAAAUAGUGUAAGCGCUGUCUUACAAAAAUAUUGAUUUCAUGAGCACAAUUUCUAAUUAACCCCAUAUUUAAAACAUAAUUGCAAGAGAUAGCAGUUAUGUUGUAUGUCAUACCUCAUUCAGGAAACAUACAUUGAAGAUUCAUGGUAAGCCAUUAGAUACCUCUGCCCAUAAGUGAGAUGCAAGAGAAUGGUUACUUAUUCAUUGACUAAUCACGAACUAGGCCAAACUUGAUCAUCUCUGCCAGUAGUUCAAACACUGAACUGAGAUGGCCACCUCGGUGGAAGGCAUUAAGCAUUACUUCACAAAUUUCUUCAUCGGGAGAAACACCAUAAGAUAGCAUCAAGCAGAAAAAGUACUUGGCUUCAGUCAUUAAACAUCGCUUGCAUAAUCUGCUAAUCACAGCACUAUAAUCUCUAAUAGAAACUUCAAACCCCUUUUCCACCAUUUGACGGAAGUAUAUUGCAGCUCUAUUAGGAUCACCCUUGGCACAAUGUGCCUUGAUCAUUGUAGUGUAAGCAAAUUUAUUCAGAUUGAUUUUUUGAUCCUGAAGAGAAACCAGUAGACUGUCAGCAUCCUUCAGAUCACCAUAUACACAAAGGCCAUUGAUGAGAAUAUUGCAUGUAGCAGAAGUAGGCUCAAGGUUAUGCAUUAGCAUCUCAUCAAAUAACUGAAAUGCUUUUAUCAUGUCUUUGGCCUUGCAAAAUGCUUGGAUGAUAGUAUUAUAUGUGAUUUGAUCUGGGGUUAGACCUUUAGCAUGCAUUUCCUCAAGUAGUUGGCAAGAUUCUUGCAACCUCCACCGUUUGCAAAGUCCUUUGAUUACUACAGUGUAUGUGACAUGAGUGGGUUCUAUAGCUUUUGCUUCCAUCUCUGAUCGCAACUCAAGCAAAUUCUGCAUAUUACCCUUCUCACAAUAUGCAUUCAUAAGAGUGGUAUAAGUUACUGCAGUUGGUUCCAAUCCAUGCAGCUUUAUUGUAUCCAACAACUUUCUAGCCUCAUCUACCUUUCUGUUUUUGCAGAAUCCAUAAAUAAGAGAAUUAAAAGUGACUAUAGUAGGAGAUAUGCCUUUCUCUCCCAUUUGUUUGUAUAAUUUUACAGCGUCCCCAAUAUUACUAAGUUUUGCAUACCUAUCUAUCAUAAUAUUAUACAGAAUGACAUCAAGUGUCAAGUUGCUCUUUACCAGAGAAUCAAAAUACAGUCUAGCCUUUGACAUCAUCCCUUUCUCACAAAGACCCAUCAGAAUAGCUCUGUGUGCAAGAGAAUUUGGAAAGAUUCCGCUCAAGCACAUUUCACCAUAUAGCUGGAUGGCCUGUUGAACUUCUCCUUGCUUGCACAGGCCAUGAAUGAGGAUUGAAUAGGAUAUAAGAUCUGGUUGCAAGCCAUUAGCUCUCAUUUCACAAAAUAAUUUCAAUGCUUCAUCAACCCGCCCACUUUUACACAAGCAGCUAAGCAACACUGUGUAUGAGAUGAUAUUUAAUUGAAAACCACGUGAAAUCAUCUCUUUACGCAACUUUAAUGCUUCCUCAAUAUUGCCUACCUCACAAUGCCCAAAUAUCAGUAUAGUAUAUGUAACAAGAUCUGGAUUCAACCCCUUAAUUAACAUAUUUUGAACGAUCUUCCAGGCCCCACUCAUAAAACCAAGGAGACAAAACCCUUUGGCAAGAAUGUUGUAAGUUACUAUAUCAGGCUGUACCCCAUGCUUCUCCAUAUCAUUUGUGAACUCCAAUGCUUCUUCCAUGGACCCAUCUACACAUAAUCCAUGAAUAAGAAUAUUAUAACUGUAUGCAUCGGGAAGAAGUCCACGCUUGAGCAUCAUACAGAAAAAUGACUUUGCAACAUCUACAAAACCCAAUUUACUAGAUCUCGACAUGAUAGUAUUGAAUGAAACAACAGAAGGCCCAAACUCCUUCCCUUCAAUAUGCCGCAAGAACAAAACUGCAUCUUGAAACCUAGACUGCCUGCAUAGGCCAUCUACAACAAUGGAACUAGUGUACUUACUCUGAGGUGUUCCACUAAGUUUGAUUUCAUUAUAUACAUCCCACAUGAUAUUAGUGUGUCUGAGAUUGUACAACAGACUGUUGUACGUUUGUAUUGAAGCUCCCAAAUUCAAGUCUUUCAUCUUCACAAGAACAAAGAGUGCAUCAUGAACCAUCUCACAUCUUGAAUAAGCACAGGCCAACAUAUCCCACACGACAUUACUUGAAUCCCAGCUUCUAAAGCCACUCAAGAGCAGCUCACAAAGUGAAGGAGCUGACCCAGAGCCUAUCAGAAAUCACACCAAAUCUUCCUCUAGCAGCAUUUGGUCCAGAAUCAAACGCAAUUCUUUUAAUCGCCUCUUUCUCGCCAAUACAUGUGAGACGACAAACUUUGAAAAUCUUGAAUGUCGGAACCCAAAUUCAUUCCUCAACAAAUGAAAGAAACCCACCACAGAAUCCGCAUUUUCAACACUCAAAUACUCUAUUAUUUGAUCAACCUGAGAACAAUUCAGCAUCGAAAUCAGGUUUUUAAAAUAACAACCAUUGACAAAUCUCCUUAAACCCAAGCACCUAAGACCGGAGAGAAUCACGUGAACAGAGUCUCCAGAGUCAGGGGCAAUGGAGGAGGUGGUCGGUUCAUCAGCAAGACUUGCAGCGGUGGAUACGGAGGGUUUAAACACUAUAAAAGAAGAAAUAGAUGCAAGAAUUUGCGAUUUUAAGGGGAAAUGGAGAGGUUUUCUCCACUUGCUAAGCAUGGAAGAGGAAUGGAAUUCAGAGUUUUUAAGGACAAAGGAGCCGUUUUCUUUUGUUUUCUGGGAAAUUUUCCUAAAUCCAG